rnacentral:rRNA from 1 species
UACGUAGGGGGCAAGCGUUGUCCGGAAUCAUUGGGCGUAAAGAGCGCGUAGGCGGCCCUGUAAGUCCGCUGUGAAAGUCAAGGGCUCAACCCUUGAAUGCCGGUGGAUACUGCAGGGCUAGAGUCCGGAAGAGGCGAGUGGAAUUCCUGGUGUAGCGGUGAAAUUCGUAGAUAUUCGGAAGAACACCAGUGGCGAAGGCGGCUCACUGGACUGGUAUUGACGCUGAGGUGCGAAAGCGUGGGGAGCAAACAGG